rnacentral:rRNA from 1 species
UACAGAGGGGGCAAGCGUUGUUCGGAAUUACUGGGCGUAAAGGGCGCGUAGGCGGCCUUCUAAGUCGAACGUGAAAUCCCCGGGCUCAACCCGGGAACUGCGUCCGAUACUGGAAGGCUUGAAUCCGGGGAGAGGGAUGCGGAAUUCCAGGUGUAGCGGUGAAAUGCGUAGAUAUCAGGAGGAACACCGGUGGCGAAGGCGGUGGUCUGGGCCGGCACUGACGCUGAGGAGCGAAAGCGUGGGUAGCAAACAGG